GGGGAUUUAGCUCAGUGGUAGAGCGCUUGCCUAGCAAGCAUAAGGCCCUGGGUUCGGUCCUCAGCUCCG
rnacentral:tRNA from 1 species